GUACUUGUAAGGGUGCUUGGGGGGUGAUGGUGGUGGUGGUGGAGGUGACUUGUACUUGUAGGGGUGCUUGGGUGGUGACGGUGGUGGUGGUGGGGGGGACUUGUACUUGUAGGGAUGCUUUGGUGGGGAUGGUGGUGGUGGUGGUGGGGACUUGUACUUGUAGGGAUGCUUAGGUGGGGAUGGUGGUGGUGGUGGAGACUUGUAUUUGUAAGGAUGCUUUGGUGGUGAUGUUGGUGGAGGUGGUGGGGACUUGUACUUGUAAGGGUGCUUGGGUGGUGAUGGAGGUGGAGGUGGUGGAGACUUAUACUUGUAAACUGGAGGUGGUGGGGGUGGAGACUUGUACUUGUAGGGGUGCUUGGGUGAUGAUGGAGGUGGAGGUGGUGGAGACUUAUACUUGUAAACUGGAGGUGGUGGGGGUGGAGACUUGUACUUGUAAGGGUGCUUGGGUGGUGAUGGUGGGGGUGGGGACUUGUACUUGUAGGGGUGUUUAGGUGGUGAUGGUGGUGGUGGUGGUGGGGACUUGUACUUGUAAGGAUGCUUGGGUGGUGAUGGUGGUGGAGGUGGAGGAGACUUGUACUUGUAAGGAUGCUUGGGUGGUGAUGGUGGUGGAGGUGGUGGAGACUUAUACUUGUAAACAGGAGUUGGUGGGGGAGGAGAUUUGUACUUGUAAGGUUUCUUGUGUGGUGGUGGUGGAGGAGAGUAGACCGGAGGAGGCGGUGGGGGAGACUUGUAAUGGUAGGGUGGUGGUGGGUAUUUCUUAGGAGGUGGUGGAGGAGAAG
rnacentral:lncRNA from 1 species